GUGUCAGCAGCCGCGGUAAUACGUAGGUGGCAAGCGUUGUCCGGAUUUACUGGGCGUAAAGCGCGCGCAGGCGGCUGGCCAAGUCUGAUGUGAAAUCUUCCGGCUCAACUGGAAAACGGCAUCAGAAACUGGUCGGCUGGAAGGUGGGAGAGGGUAGCGGAAUUCCCGGUGUAGUGGUGGAAUGCGUAGAUAUCGGGAGGAACACCAGUGGCGAAAGCGGCUACCUGGCCCAUUCUUGACGCUGAGGCGCGAAAGCUAGGGGAGCAAACGGGAUUAGAAACCCUCGUAGUCC
rnacentral:rRNA from 1 species